AGUUCUGCGUUGAAAAAGGUAUGGACAUGAAGAUAAUAAUCAUGAGAACACAACCCAUUUUGUGUUGAAUCGAGAUUCAUCAAAACCCAAGGAGAUUCGAUGGCAGAGAAGAGGAGGAAGACGAGAGUCUUUAAUGCUACUCCAAGGAACCUCUCUGAACAUGGCUGUUGUUUGUUUUUGGGUAUGUAAACUGACCUUCCUUACCUUUUCUUUUGAUUUACUCUUGUUUUAUCAGUCAUUAUCCCCCAUAAACCUCAUCUGCAGAAGCACCAUUAAAUGCACUUGUUUCUGCAUCACCCAACUCAGUCUCCAUUCUGUUGUCUUGUUUUGUUUCUUCUGCUUUGUGUUAGAGAAAAGUUAAGCAUGCUUUUUCGCUGCUAGUUGGUCCGUGAUUCAGAGCUUUUCGAAGCUAAUGAUUCAUCUGAUUUGAAAAAAAACUUGAGUCUGAUGUUAAAAAUGUAAGAUUUGGCAGUUGAAACAGAGGGCUUUAGGAGAUUAAAAAAAAAA